CCUACGUGCGGCAGCAGUGGGGAAUAUUGCGCAAUGGGCGAAAGCCUGACGCAGCGAUGCCGCGUGAGGGAUGAAGGUCUUCGGAUCGUAAACCUCUGUCAGCAGGGAAGAACGGUCACUGUGCUAAUCAGCAGUGAAUUGACGGUACCUGCAAAGGAAGCACCGGCUAACUCCGUGCCAGCAGCCGCGGUAAUACGGAGGGUGCGUGCGUUAAUCGGAAUUACUGGGCGUAAAGCGCUCGUAGGCGGUAUGUCAAGUCAAGGGUGAAAUCCCCGCGCUCAACGUGGGAACUGCCUUUGAAACUGACAAACUGGAGUGUGUGAGAGGAUAGUGGAAUUCCAGGUGUAGGAGUGAAAUCCGUAGAUAUCUGGAGGAACAUCAGUGGCGAAGGCGACUAUCUGGCACAUAACUGACGCUGAGGAGCGAAAGCGUGGGUAGCAAACAGGAUUAGAUACCCCUGUAGUC
rnacentral:rRNA from 1 species